GGUUAAGCGACUAAGCGUACACGGUGGAUGCCUAGGCAGUCAGAGGCGAUGAAGGGCGUGCUAAUCUGCGAAAAGCGUCGGUAAGCUGAUAUGAAGCGUUAUAACCGACGAUACCCGAAUGGGGAAACCCAGUGCAAUACGUUGCACUAUCGUUAGAUGAAUACAUAGUCUAACGAGGCGAACCGGGGGAACUGAAACAUCUAAGUACCCCGAGGAAAAGAAAUCAACCGAGAUUCCCCCAGUAGCGGCGAGCGAACGGGGAGGAGCCCAGAGUCUGAAUCAGUUUGUGUGUUAGUGGAAGCGUCUGGAAAGUCGCACGGUACAGGGUGAUAGUCCCGUACACCAAAAUGCACAGGCUGUGAACUCGAUGAGUAGGGCGGGACACGUGACAUCCUGUCUGAAUAUGGGGGGACCAUCCUCCAAGGCUAAAUACUCCUGACUGACCGAUAGUGAACCAGUACCGUGAGGGAAAGGCGAAAAGAACCCCGGCGAGGGGAGUGAAAUAGAACCUGAAACCGUGUACGUACAAGCAGUGGGAGCACCUUCGUGGUGUGACUGCGUACCUUUUGUAUAAUGGGUCAGCGACUUAUAUUUUGUAGCAAGGUUAACCGAAUAGGGGAGCCGUAGGGAAACCGAGUCUUAACUGGGCGUCUAGUUGCAAGGUAUAGACCCGAAACCCGGUGAUCUAGCCAUGGGCAGGUUGAAGGUUGGGUAACACUAACUGGAGGACCGAACCGACUAAUGUUGAAAAAUUAGCGGAUGACUUGUGGCUGGGGGUGAAAGGCCAAUCAAACCGGGAGAUAGCUGGUUCUCCCCGAAAGCUAUUUAGGUAGCGCCUCGUGAACUCAUCUUCGGGGGUAGAGCACUGUUUCGGCUAGGGGGCCAUCCCGGCUUACCAAACCGAUGCAAACUCCGAAUACCGAAGAAUGUUAUCACGGGAGACACACGGCGGGUGCUAACGUCCGUCGUGAAGAGGGAAACAACCCAGACCGCCAGCUAAGGUCCCAAAGUCAUGGUUAAGUGGGAAACGAUGUGGGAAGGCACAGACAGCCAGGAUGUUGGCUUAGAAGCAGCCAUCAUUUAAAGAAAGCGUAAUAGCUCACUGGUCGAGUCGGCCUGCGCGGAAGAUGUAACGGGGCUAAACCAUGCACCGAAGCUGCGGCAGCGACGUUUAGGCGUUGUUGGGUAGGGGAGCGUUCUGUAAGCCGUUGAAGGUGACCUGUGAGGGUUGCUGGAGGUAUCAGAAGUGCGAAUGCUGACAUAAGUAACGAUAAUGCGGGUGAAAAACCCGCACGCCGGAAGACCAAGGGUUCCUGUCCAACGUUAAUCGGGGCAGGGUGAGUCGACCCCUAAGGCGAGGCUGAAAAGCGUAGUCGAUGGGAAACAGGUUAAUAUUCCUGUACUUGGUGUUACUGCGAAGGGGGGACGGAGAAGGCUAGGCUGGCCGGGCGACGGUUGUCCCGGUUUAAGCGUGUAGGGGGAGUGACCAGGUAAAUCCGGUUGCUUAUCAACCCUGAGGCGUGAUGACGAUGCACCACGGUGCAGAAGCAGUUGAUGCCAUGCUUCCAGGAAAAGCCUCUAAGCAUCAGGUAACAUUAAAUCGUACCCCAAACCGACACAGGUGGUCAGGUAGAGAAUACUCAGGCGCUUGAGAGAACUCGGGUGAAGGAACUAGGCAAAAUGGUGCCGUAACUUCGGGAGAAGGCACGCUGGCGUUAGGUGAAAGGACUAGCUCCUGGAGCUGAAGCCAGUCGCAGAUACCAGCUGGCUGCAACUGUUUAAUAAAAACACAGCACUGUGCAAACACGAAAGUGGACGUAUACAGUGUGACGCCUGCCCGGUGCUGGAAGGUUAAUUGAUGGGGUCAGCCGCAAGGGGAAGCUCUUGAUCGAAGCCCCAGUAAACGGCGGCCGUAACUAUAACGGUCCUAAGGUAGCGAAAUUCCUUGUCGGGUAAGUUCCGACCUGCACGAAUGGCGUAAUGAUGGCCAGGCUGUCUCCACCCGAGACUCAGUGAAAUUGAACUCGCUGUGAAGAUGCAGUGUACCCGCGGCAAGACGGAAAGACCCCGUGAACCUUUACUAUAGCUUGACACUGAACAUUGAGCCUUGAUGUGUAGGAUAGGUGGGAGGCCUUGAAGUGUGGACGCCAGUCUGCAUGGAGCCAACCUUGAAAUACCACCCUUUAAUGUUUGAUGUUCUAACUCGGCCCCAUGAUCUGGGGUGAGGACAGUGUCUGGUGGGUAGUUUGACUGGGGCGGUCUCCUCCCAAAGAGUAACGGAGGAGCACGAAGGUUAGCUAAUCACGGUCGGACAUCGUGAGGUUAGUGCAAAGGCAUAAGCUAGCUUGACUGCGAGAGUGACGGCUCGAGCAGGUACGAAAGUAGGUCUUAGUGAUCCGGUGGUUCUGAAUGGAAGGGCCAUCGCUCAACGGAUAAAAGGUACUCCGGGGAUAACAGGCUGAUACCGCCCAAGAGUUCAUAUCGACGGCGGUGUUUGGCACCUCGAUGUCGGCUCAUCACAUCCUGGGGCUGAAGUAGGUCCCAAGGGUAUGGCUGUUCGCCAUUUAAAGUGGUACGCGAGCUGGGUUUAGAACGUCGUGAGACAGUUCGGUCCCUAUCUGCCGUGGGCGUUGGAAGAUUGAGAGGGGCUGCUCCUAGUACGAGAGGACCGGAGUGGACGAAUCACUGGUGUUCGGGUUGUCAUGCCAAUGGCAUUGCCCGGUAGCUAAAUUCGGAAGAGAUAACCGCUGAAAGCAUCUAAGCGGGAAACUUGCCUCGAGAUGAGUCUUCCCUGGGGCUUAAAGCCCCCUGAAGGAACGUUAAAGACUAUGACGUUGAUAGGCUGGGUGUGUAAGUGCAGCGAUGUAUUGAGCUAACCAGUACUAAUGAUCCGUGAGGCUUAACCUU
rnacentral:rRNA from 1 species